GGAGAAAACACUGGUUCUAGUGAAGAUUUGAUACCAAUUAGAGCAUGGAGGAGGGGGCAAAGGGGACUGAAAGAAGAAACCAUGAUCAGCAGCAAGCCAAAGUAAAAUCUAUUCUGUACAAAUGGAUGAAGAGUUUUAAGACCAUUGAAAGAAACCAACAGCAGGCAUUUUGUUUUAAGAAUUUUUUUUUCUUUUUUUGGUUAAGAGUUUUAAGAUAAUGUUUAUUGUUUGUCACUGCUUAAGAAUGUAAACUAGAUUGGUUUAUCUGAUCA